ACUAACCGGAAGUGCUGCGGGCCCUGGACCCAGCGCCAUUUCAGUGGAUCCUGCUUUGGACCCGGCAGCCCCUCUCUCGUCUUCCCUCACCCAGCUCUGCGCCCUGCGACACCUCAUCAGGGCCUGGGGCGGGGGUGCUGCGGCCUUUCACUCACUUGACCCGUCAUCUCUCCCAGCCAUCCUGCGGGGACAAGCACAGAAUAGUGGGGCGGCCCAGAGCGCAGGCCCUGAUCAGACUGUCGUGGGUGAUGUCCCAGCUUUACCGCUCAUGGGGUUCCCAAGAUCCUGACGGCCGAUGUGACCUCUGAGCCUGUUUUCUCAUCUGAAGGUUGGAGACAGCGUUCACCUCAAAGGGUUUCUGUGAGACGCUACUGUUACUGCUGCUGCUAAGUCGCUUCAGUCGUGUCCGACUCGGUGCGACCCCAUAGACGGCAGCUCACCAGGCUCCCCCGUCCCUGGGAUUCUCCAGGCAAGAACACUGGAGUGGGUUGCCAUGUCCUUCUCCAAUGCAUGAAAGUGAAAAGUGAAAGUGAAGUCGCUCAGUCGUGUCCGACUCUUAGCGACCCCAUGGACCGCAGCCCACCAGGCUCCUCCGCCCAUGGGAUUUUCCAGGCAAGAGUACUGGAAUGGGGUGCCAUUGCCUUUUCCGCCGUGAGACGCUAGAUGCGUGCUGAAAUACAUUCUGCAUUUCGAGAUGCUAAGCAGUUGUCAUUUUGCAGGUGACGAAACUGAAACUCAAUGAGACCAGCGGUCAAGUUCCCGCUGGUAGGAGGUGGCAGGAACCGGGGUUCUGACUGCGUGUGUCUGGCUCUGGAGCCCACGCUGCUGUCCCCACAGGCCACCCCUCUCUUUUGUCCCUUGGAGCACCUUCACAUGGGCCCACAGAGAAGCCAAGAAGCAAGGAUGGCAGCAGCAGAGCUGUACGGCGGCCCCACCCCUCUGGCUUUUCCCCGGUCAGAGGCUGCCGGGCCCAGAGGACAGCAGUCCCCCCUGCAGCAGACUGGGCAGCCUGCUGCUUGCAUCUGCUCUCUGAGGGCCUCAGUGUCUCCGAACAUAUAACAAUCGUGACUGUCUCGUCAUUCUGCGCUUUUGCGACCUCAAACCCCAGGAGGCCUCAGGGACCCAGACUCGCCUGGAGGUGGGAGGCCUGCCUGCCUCUCGGAGCAGACCAGGCCCUGCCCCAAAUAUGCCUCUUAGGUUUUCCUGCCACCUGGCCUGACACCCCAACCACCCCAGCUGCACCUCUGCAC
ensembl:lncRNA